GGACCUGACUGCUAUCGGAUUGAUACUAAGCCAUGCGAGUCUUUGCAGUAAUGCAAGGCAUACGGCUCAGUAACACGUAGUCAACUUACCCUAUGGACGAGGAUAAUCUCGGGAAACUGAGCAUAAUACUCGAUAGAUCAUAAUGCCUGGAAUGGUUUAUGGUUGAAAUGAUUCGUCGCCAUAGGAUAGGACCGCGGCCUAUCAGCUUGUUGGUGAGGUAAUGGCCCACCAAGGCGAUUACAGGUACGGGCUCUGAGAGGAGAAGCCCGGAGAUGGGUACUGAGACAAGGACCCAGGCCCUAUGGGGCGCAGCAGGCGAGAAAACUUUGCAAUGUGCGAAAGCACGACAAGGUUAAUCCGAGUGAUUUCUGCUAAAGAAAUCUUUUGCAAGUCAUAAAACCACUAGUGAAUAAGGGGUGGGCAAGUUCUGGUGU
rnacentral:rRNA from 1 species